AUGGAUCCAGCAGGGAGGCAGCCUGCCAUGGGCCCCUGCUCAGGGGACCCCCACCUGGGCGGGGCCUCCUGGCUCCUGGGACUCACCAGCCUCCUCCUCAGCGUCUGCAGCACUGGCACACAGGGUUCUGCAGCCCAUGGUUCUGGAGUUGAGGAUUCUGGAAACCCCGUUUCUCUGAAGGGGAUGCAAGGAGCUUCUGUGUUGUUUCAAGUGCUCAGAAACCCAGACUUGCCUGCAGGAGUCGAGCUGGAGAAGAUGACCUGGGGGAUCUCCUCCGGGGCAAACUACACAACCCUGCUGCAGGUCUCCCCUGGGGCACGCGAUCCAGAAUGGGUCAACUUCCAGGACAAGUUCCAGAAGAGGGUCCAUGUGCUCAACAUUACGACCCUGAGGAUGAACAACCUGACCCUGGAGGACACUGGGCUGUACCGGGCUCGGGGCUUCUACUCCAGAGGAAGACAAUACGACCAGGAUUUCCACCUGACUGUGUAUGAGCCCCUGCCCCUUCCCCAGAUCUGGGCCAAGGAUCGGUUCAUCACCCCAGGCUGGUGCAAUGUCACCGUGAAGUGUGACACCAUGGGAACCAGGGAGGACCUGACCCUGUCCUGGGAGAGGAAGAGACUCCCCAGGGAACUGGAACAACGAGUGGCCCCAGGACCAGCUCCCAACCCCUGGACCCUGGCUCUGAGCCUGCCCCUCAGCCAGCCCAGCGCCAGCCUCACCUGUGUGCUCAGCAACCAAGAGGACCAGAAAACUGUCACCUUGGACCUUGGGGACAUCUGUGGCCACGCAGAUCCACAGGGACAGGCUGAUGCCUCCCAACUACCCAGCAUCCUGGGGACUGUUGUGGUCCUGCUGCUGAUCCUGGGAGCUGGACUGUUCCUCUGGAGGACACGAGUGAAGAAGAGCCUGGAGCCUGGGAGAGGUGCAGGGUCGCAGGAGGAGCAUAGGGAUCCCGAUAGUGGCAUCUACUAUGCAGAGCUGAGCCAGCAGGGGUCUGGAGACAGCAGGGACAAGGGUAGAGGUGUAGCACAUCUGGAAGGGAACAAGCCUCUCACUACUGUCUACAGUGAGGUCCGCAGGGCAGGCGUGGCCCUGAUGAGGAUUUAAUUGGAAGAAGCCGGAGAAUCCCGCCCUCCGGGGACAGCUGUCUUGGGAGCAUGAUGCCUGCAGCUCCGGUCCCACCUCUUCCUCCUCUGACUCCUCUGGUGAGGGACUGGCUGGUCCAAGCAUCAGUUAGUGUCUAUGCUAAGUGGUUCUGCACACGUUUGCGAUUAGACUUCUGUAGGUCUUUCAAGAGGGGAAACUGAGUAAAUAAAUUGACAGAAACAUGUGUCAUGAGUGCUCAGGCCCAGCCACCUGGCACCCCUUGAGAAACUCUCCUCCUCACCCUUUAUACAUCAAACUGCCUUUCAGACCCUCACCCCUGGGACCAACCUUUGUGACUCACAACAUCCCACCUCCAGCUGAGUCUCGAACUCAGUCCACACUCAGUUAUGUGCGGAGAGCUAUUCAGAGACGCCAUGAAUCCGUAAUGGUCAGCCCUUCUCUGGGGACGUGCCGUCUGCGCAUUCCUCUCCGUGGUUCAUCCCCCUGACCUGUUGCCCCUUCCCUGCAGCCCUCACCCCGUCUCUCUGCCCCCUGCCCAACACUUGAGCCCACCGUGGGCCUCACCUCACAGGGACCCCUAGAGCACCAGCAGGUGACCCGAAUGUGACCCUGGUGACAAUGUUUCCUGCUCCCACUCCUGGGCCAAUAGGGUCCCUGCUGGCCACUCCCUGGACCCCUCACCCCCUGCCGACUUCCCAGACUCCUCUGGGGCCCCUCUAGCGCCCCUCCUCCCUCACCUGCUAUGCUCUUGAGGGUUUAGGCAGGGCCUCUUCCUAUCUCCGGUGCCCUUCUCUCUCUGGUGCCCCUGUCCUGGGGCUCCUGGCCUGUUCCAGCGGUGAUGCCCAGACCUCCGUCCCCCUGCCCCACGCCCUUUGCUCAGCCCACACCCCGUCCCCACCCCCCCACAAGGGGGUCCUGCCCAGCCCCCGACCUGCACUUUGUACCUACUCCCUCUGCCCUGUGGGGCUUCCCCCUGUAGAGAAAUGCCCUCCGCCCCCCCGCCCCGUGGUGUCUUCCUCCAGCUCAGAACCAGUGAUCCAGCGCUCCCAGCUGGAUCCAGCACCUUGUGUGCAAGGACUUUAUUCUAUUGUCACAAUCGUCAGAGUGAGGACAGAAAUACAGAAGCCCAGAAGUGCACGUGGAACAUGAACACCAGGAGCCUGGAUCCCACAAGGACUGUGGCCCCACCUUCCCUCUAGUGGCUGUUCUCAGUUUUCCUGAGAGCUGGAACUCAUCCCUGUUCAGAGUAAAGAGUCUCUUCUGUAGUCUGUGUGUCCUUGCUUCAUAAAUUACUUUAUAUGAGAGAGACAGACAAACAGACCCACAGGUACACCUGUCACCUGCCUGCUGGGGGAGCUCCUGCCUGCGCCUUCACUACCUUGUUGGUCUCUGGGAAUUCCCUCAGUCCCACCUUGUCCUGCCCCCCGGCCACCUGCCUCUUCUUUGAUCAUGCAGUUCCCUGCUCAGCACCCAACAUCGCUGUGGGGAUCCUACUGUCUCCUGCAUCAGGGGGUUUUGUCUGGAGGAUGAAAUCCUGCCUUGGUGGCACCUGGGCUCAUGCAGGUUCUGGUCUCUGCAAUCUUUCAACCCUCAGGCCCAAAAUCCUAAGUGCCCAAAAGAUGAAAUGAAAAAUCAGGAAAUAACCACAAAUUCAAAGUAAGUGAAACAAAAAUUUUUGCUUCACUUUAUACAAAUACAUUGAAAAUGUAGAUGAAAUGGUUAAUUUUCAAGAAAGUAUGAUGUAGUGAUAGGAGAAAGGAGAAAGCCUCAGGGCAGGUACGGUGCCUGCUGGGUGAACAAGCGCUGCCGCGUUUCCCCGUCGCCCGCAGACCCCCACCACACCUCAGUUGACCCUGGAGGGAGUUCUUCCCCCACACUGAGCCCCUUUUUCGGGUCCCCAGCUGGGCAUCCUAGGAUCUGAGGCAGUCCUGACACUGUCUACCUGCAGCUCAGGUCAGACCCCAUGGGGGAAGGUUCAGGCCACCGCACCUGCGCCUCCACUUGGACGCCAGGCAGCUCUGGUCUGUGCCUCUGAGCACCUGGCUGUGCCUCGCAGGUUCCCAUGAGCGGCCUGUCAGGCUGCUGAUUUCCUGGGGCAGCUCACCCGGCAAUGGGGACCCCGAGUCCUUCCUAGCUUACGGGUCGGUUAUACAGGGUAUAAGUCACGAGCAGCCGGGGGCAGAGGGGCCGGGGACAAGGCAUGUGAGGAGGGGUGCGGAGCUGCUAUCCCUCUAGGUGAGCCCUCCCCAACACCUGUGGGUGCUCCCACUCCGAAGCCCUCCUAACCCUGUCCUUCUGGGGUUUUAGAGUCCUCAUUACAUGAACACCCUGAUAAACCCAUGACCACUGGGGAUGGGGGAUCUCACGCUCCAGGCCUCCUCCCUCCCAGGUCGUCAGUGAGUGGGUCCCUGGGUUCGCACCUGGUAACACAGUUGAUCCCCUGGCAGCCACCCCCGUCCUUGGCAGGUUCCCUAAAGUCUGUCACACAUGUUCAGGUGUGGUCGGAGGGGCUUGUCAUGAACCAUAGAGCACCCAUUGCACCCUCACUGCUCUGGCCUGAUUGUGGGAACUGGGACCAAUCCUAAAUACAACAAGAGACCUCCCUUGGGCUCUUCUAUAGAAAUUACUAGAUUCCAGGAGCUGAGUGCCAGUGAUCGUGCAUGAAGGCAAAUAUCUAUAGCUUACUAUGAAUUACAAGAGAGCAUUAUUUUAGAGAUUGAUGUCUUUGUGUAGCCUACUCUUUACUUUUUAUUAUAAUUUUAAUUGUAUGAAUUUUUCCCCAUGGCUUCCUUGACUCUGCACUCAGCAAAUGAUCCCUUGGCCGCCCCCUCUCUGUCCCUUCCUGGACCCCAUCCUCUGCUGGUUAGCACCAGGUCCUCAGUUCCCUCCUUCCGACACUCCCUCCCUAGGUGAUCUGAGUGAAUCCCAGGGCUCUAGGGAUCCUGGCUGUGCUGAGGCUGCAUCUCCAGUCCUGAGGUGACCCCCACAUACCUCCACCUCAUGUACUUCUGCUCUUCAAAGCAAGAGUCACCCCGUAGAACACUGGGUUCCUGUUCUCUGUCUCCUCACCCCAACCUGCUCCUUCCCAGGCUUUACUUGUAUUUACAGCUCAGUCCACUCUCAGCAUCCUCCCAGCUGCCUCAGCAAAACACCUGGACGUCACCUUGGAUUCAUCUUUUCCUCCAUCCUGGGUCUGAACCUCCAGCAAGCCCUGGUUCCCCUGUCCACCCUUCUGUCUGGGCACCAACCCUCUCACACUCUACCUGUUCCAGGCCUUACUCCCUGAGCUCCCUCAUCCCUCUCCUGUCCUCUAAUUCAUCCUCCAUACAGUGUCUGCCCUGAAGUGAUCAUUAAAGUGGGAAUCACAUGAACUCACUGUCCUGAAAACCCCCCAGUGUUUCCUGUUAGGGUAGAUUACUCCCAGCUUCCUACCCAACCUGUAGAGCCUUCUUGCCUCCAUCCUCUUAUCUUCACAACUCACCUUGGCUCAUUCUGAUCUCACCUCGGUUCUUCAUCUGUACCCAUGACGACCAAGAUCAUUGCUACAUUGGGACCUUAGCACACUUAGACCUCUGUGGGAGCAGGCACCUGGUCUCGACUGUGUCCUCAGUCACCACUGUGUCCCCAGCACCCUCAGCUUUGCCUAGCGCAACCGGCAUUGUUUGCAUGAGGUGGGCUGAGGACCCAACAGAGCACAGAUCUGUACCAGACAAGGAGUAUUCAGGAAAGAGACGAUGGUCCCAUGUCACCCAGCACGAGAAGGUCUGCUUAGUGACCUAAGCAGGAACAGUGUCACAGGAUUUGUGGGCCUGAGGCCCUGCUGCCACAUGCUGAAGAAAGGGUGGUAGCAGACAU
rnacentral:lncRNA from 1 species